rnacentral:miRNA from 1 species
ACAUGAAUUAGAUUCCCAUCCCCCUCUUUUUAUCAUGUUACCGAAUGCAGUUCGGAAACAUGAAAAAAGAGGGGGAUGGGAAUCUAAUUCAUGA